ACAUACGACCAUACCGACGGGAGAACUUGGGAUCCCGUCCGCUCUCCCAUAGAUAAGCCAGUGAGGGCUGGAGUAGCUGUCGGCUCGUGAGGUAUGUU
rnacentral:rRNA from 1 species